UACGUAGGGGGCUAGCGUUGUCCGGAAUCAUUGGGCGUAAAGCGCGCGUAGGCGGCCCGGUAAGUCCGCUGUGAAAGUCAAAGGCUCAACCUUUGAAUGUCAGCGGAUACUGCCAGGCUAGAGUCCGGAAGAGGCGAGUGGAACUCCUGGUGUAGCGGUGGAAUGCGCAGAUAUCAGGAAGAACACCAACGGCGAAGGCAGCUCGCUGGGACGGAACUGACGCUGAGGCGCGAAGGCGUGGGGAGCGAACAGG
rnacentral:rRNA from 1 species